rnacentral:rRNA from 1 species
AGGAUGAACGCUGGCGGCGUGCCUAACACAUGCAAGUCGAACGUCCUGUCUCGCAAGAGGCAGGGAGUGGCGGACGGGUGAGUACCACGUGGGUCAUCUACCGUGAGGUGAGGAAUACCGGCGAGAAAUCGCCGACAAGACCGCAUAGCCUCGGUGCAAGUCGAGGAAAGCUCUCUCGAGAGAGGGAGCGCCACACGAGGAGCCUGCGCCCGAUUAGCUAGCUGGUGGAGUAACGGUUCACCAGGGCGACGAUCGGUAGCUGGUCUGAGAGGACGAUCAGCCACACUGGGAUUGAGAACGGCCCAGACUCCUACGGGGGGCAGCAGUGAGGAAUUUUCCGCAAUGGACGCAAGUCUGACGGAGCAACGCCGCGUGCAGGAUGAAGGUUUUCGGAUCGUAAACUGCUUUUCUCGGGGACGAGCAAGGACGGUACCCGAGGAAGAAGCCCGGCUAACUACGUGCCAGCAGCCGC